AGAGGUCACCUGUUGUCACGGU
rnacentral:miRNA from 1 species